AAUUUUGCUCUUUAGCGGUAUGGAUCUGCAAGAUUUUGAAAGGAGUGGCGACAUUUUGGAGGAUGAGCUGAAUUUGUAUAUUGGAGGACAUUUUUACGAUUGCUCUUUCAAAGUUGGCGCGACUAACCCUGAGGUUAUCAAAUGUCACAGAUUGAUCCUCGCAAGAGCUAGCGUAUACUUUGAAAAAAUGUUCAUGAGCUCGUUUGAAGAAUCUUUUAGAAACAAAGACGAUCCUAUUGUAAUUACAAGCACUUCCCCAGAUGUUUUUGAUGCAGCAAUGAGGUUCAUAUACGGCAAUGCCAAAGAAUUCAAGACUAUUGGAUUGGCUUGUGAGGUUUACAAAUUGGCUCACCUUUGGAACAUGAAAAGUUUAAUGGAUGCUACUGCAGAACAUUUAAAAAACGUCAGACUCCACGAUGUUCUUCAAGUAUAUGAAAUGAGAAAUAUCAUGGACACAGAAA